rnacentral:lncRNA from 10 species
CUCAUUUUUCUACUGCUCGUGGUAAGUGGCUUCGUGGUCUUUAUAGCUGUUACUCUUUUGUACUUUGUCUUUUUCUUUUAUUUUCUUUUGAGCGAUUGUGCGAACAUAGCAUAGCACGCACUAUGCCUUCUGUGUUGUAGCUGCCUGGCCAGGGCGACUGGCGGAUAAGGUCUUGUGCGUGGCCUCGAGGCUUAAAAGUAGCAGUGGGGCUUUGUGAAGGACAAAAUGGCGAUGGCGGGCCGUGUAGGUCCCCCUUCCUAUGAUGAGGACCUUUUCACAGACCUGUACUGAGCUCCGUGAGGAUAAAUAACUCUGAGGAGAUGGGCCCUGCAAGCCUCUUGCUUAGCCGUCUGUUCAGAAAAUAGCGUUUUCGAAAUGCCCUGAGUUGACCUAAUGUCUUAUUGGGCUCCUGUCUGCAGGAUUUACGCGCACGUUGGAACCGAAGAGAGCUCUGUUGUUGCAGUAAGUUCUUACGGCCAUUUCUUAAUCUCUGCUCUUUCGUUGAGUGUGUGGAAGUUGCUACGGGGAUGAUUUUACGAACUGAACUCUCUCUUUCUGAUGGAUUAGUGGAGAAAACAGAAAAUUCUGAGUAGCACUGUACUGUACGCAACAAAUGUCAGGGCCCUAUUGAUUUGUCUGAGGUGUUAGUGAAGGGUGUUAUUUUUUCAGAUGUUCAGCCCACAAGAGCUUACUGGUGAAGGAAUGGGACAAGACCCAUCUUUAUGCAAAGCCAGCGUUACAGUAAUGUUCCAGCAUCUCAUAAUCUAUCCUGGGGAAUUCAGCUGCCUCCCAGGGUGAAUACAGGUAUUCCUGAUGACAGUCUGCCUCUAUCUUACAGUAAGUUGUUUUUCGAAUUCUAUGGGCCUAUUAUCUAAUAGAUAACUUAGCCAUUUUGAUAUUUGUUACCAAAGCCUGCUUAACCCAUAAAGUUUUCUGGUUCCUCUUGUUCUCUGUAGUGAUGUUUCUAGAUAGAUGCCCACUGAUAUAUGCCCCUUUUUUCUCAGAUAGAUGCCCACUGAUCUGCCCAGGGUCAGACGAAUGCUUGUCAGUUGUAGCUUUCCAGGAUUCUGCUCCAAUGAGGAGGAAACAUCCUGCCUUACCCCUGUUUUAGCCUGGGAACCAGUAAUUGUGAACUCACCAGGGUUAACAUGAAGAGGGCAUGAGAGCUUAUUCCAUAAGGAAUUGUCUGAGACAUUUGGUUACCUUUUCUUAGUUUGUCCAUUAGCAACCGUAACUAAAAUAGUUUUGGCUGUUUGGGAUAAUUAGCUAAUUGAAUGAUUUUUUGAUUCAGGAGCAGCUUGUUGCUAUAUACCAUUGAAAAGCCUUCAGAGCUGAGAGGUACUACUAACCAAUAACCUGCUUGGCUCAAAGGGCCAGCACCUUCUCUCUAAAGCCCAAGAGGAGUUUGAGGUAAAUGGCUUUGCAAUAGUUACCAUCAAUGGCUGCUAUAUAAAAUUUUCUGUGAUUUUUGUGUGUGAUAGCACUGUGGUCUGGGUGAAUGUACACAGACAUAACUGGCUUAACCCAAAGUCUUUGAUCUCCUGAACCACCAGUGAUGAAUUGCUGCUCACCAGUGAUGAGUUGAAUACCGCCCCAGUCUGAUCAAUGUGUGACUGAAAGGUAUUUUCUGAGCUGUGAGCCUGCCUUCCAGUGACAUGUUCUAAAAAUUGCAAGUUAUUUGAGGAGGCUUUACAGCCAAUAGGAAGUUCUUGGGCUAAGUAGUGUUUCCUAUAAAAUGUGCCCUGAAACUUCUUUCUGCCAAGCAAUAGAUACAAUUGAGAGAUUGUAAAAUGUGACAUAGAAUGAAAGUCUCUCAAGACUACAUUUUUCUUUCUUGAUUUUGCAGGAAAACUAGGUGUCUGUGUUCACUCCAGGCUGAAGUUACAGGUGAGUAAACCUAAAUGUAAGGUGGACUAUGCUAAAAAUUCCCAAUGAAGAAACUUUCACAUGUCUUACUCUCUGUCCUAGUCCCAGAGCCUGUAAAGGUGAACCCACUGGGACUGGCUGGGGGAGAAGAGGAAGAUUUGUUCCAGAAGGAACUGUCUGAGGGAUGAUAAAGAUUUCUAUACAGAGAAAGGGAGUAAUCAUCACUUGUUGAAAACAUUGGUUUUAUUUUUUCCAGGUCUGAGCAAAUAAGGUGUAUAAAAAAUGGAAUCUGUCUUGGAGGACAUCAGAAGAUACAAGGGCUUGGUUUUGUUACCCAGGCUGGUUUCAAGGCCAUAGCUUUAAGAGAUCCUCUCACCACAGAUUUCCAAAGUGCUGGGAUUGCAGGUGUGAUUCAUGGCACCCAGACUUUGCUGCCUUUCUUACAUGAUCCAGGCCCAGAACCCAAACUCAGGCACUGUAUAGAUGACCACUUUCGUAAACUACUGACCUAGCUUGUUGCCAAUUGUUGAUUGAACUUCCCAUAACUCCACUUCGUGUCUGUUCCUCUGUAUACAGCCACCUUCUGUUCCCGUCAUGAGCCUUUAGGUCUCCAUUUGCAUAUUGCAAAUACUAUGUUCCAUGUAGGUAGCUCAUUCAGGGCCUUGCUCUUCACUUCAAAAAAGGUUCCCUUGAGGACUGGCUGUCAAUUUGUGUUGCUGUGUUGGUUGUUGAUGAAAAUAAUAAAAUGAUUGAUUACAUAGUCCUGUUUACUUUUUUUGUGUGUAUGUGUCUCUUAGCAUCAGUGUGUAAAUUUCCAUGGGAAACUGGCUUUCCUCUCAUGCUCCCUGAAGUACCUGGAACUUGAAGGGACAUC